UCGUACUAAUGCAGGUCGGGCUGCGGUUACUUCUUUGUCCAUUUGGUUCCAAUAUUGUAGUUCGUACAGCAUGGUGAGUUUUGAAUUAUAUUCUCAGAUGAGCGUCGAUGAUGAGCCAACAGGUGUAAUGAGAUUUUGCAUUACUCCAACAUAGGGUUUAGCUUCUGGCAGUUUCUAACCACAUCAGUUAUGUAUUUGAAAGAGAUUCUGUAUCUGUUUCAUAUAAACCACGAUUGCAGCUAAUAUAUUUUCCACCAUUUUCUCUUUUGACUUGUGAGUCCUUUCGUUCAUAAAAAUAAUCUGCGUGUUUUCUUUACAUCUGUUCGGUGGUGGUUGUCUUACCUAUUUAUUCUACAUUCAAGGCCAUUGAGACGAAGGAUCAAGAUGACCAACACAAAUGGCUUGUAUACUGGGCUGCUUAUGGAUCCUUCAUUGUUGCUGAGAUCUUCACUGAUAAGCUUCUAUAUUGGUGUCCUCUCUACUACCAUUUAAAGUUUGCAUUUCUUGUCUCGCUUUAACUGCCAUCUGUUGAGUAAUCCUAACUUGCACUUUGUUGAGUCACAUGUUCUACUCUUAGAAGAUUGAGAGAGGUUGUUGAGCUACUGAAACUCAUCAAAGUUGGAGCAUGAAGGUGUUUCUGUGAAGUUUCUUUUUUUUUUCUUUUUUUUUUGAGUUAGGCUCAAAACAUUAUGUAUUAAGGUUUUGGAUGAUAAUGUAUGAAUGUUUUGUGUUAUAUAUAAUAUAUGUUAUUGAUGAUUUUAUCA